AUGGGCCCUUGCGGCGGCCCCCGUGGCGACGUGUGGAAGAUGGACGUGCGCGGCGGCGACCGCAUCGUCAAGGUGAUCCUGUGGCAUGCAGGCGCAGUCGACGCUAUCUCAGUUUCGUACCAGCGGGACGGCCGGAUUGAGCAGACCGAGCACUGGGGGAAACCUGACGGUAGACAGCGCUCAGAGAUAUGUCUGGAGCCGGAUGAAUACCUCACCGGUAUGAAAGGGCAUGUGGGGUGA
rnacentral:rRNA from 1 species